rnacentral:rRNA from 1 species
CAGUAGCCGCGGGAAAACGAAGGGUGCAAGCGUUAAUCGGAAUUACUGGGCGUAAAGCGCACGCAGGCGGUCUGUCAAGUCAGAUGUGAAAUCCCCGGGCUUAACCUGGGAACUGCAUUUGAAACUGGCAGGCUAGAGUCUUGUAGAGGGGGGUAGAAUUCCAGGUGUAGCGGUGAAAUGCGUAGAGAUCUGGAGGAAUACCGGUGGCGAAGGCGGCCCCCUGGACAAAGACUGACGCUCAUGCACGAAAGCGUGGGGAGCAAACAGGAUUAGAUACCCCGGUAGUCCCUGUCUCUUAUAA